rnacentral:rRNA from 1 species
UACGUAGGUGACGAGCGUUAUCCGGAUUUACUGGGCGUAAAGCGCUUGUAGGUGGCUUUGUAAGUUGGGCGUGAAAACUCUGGGCUUAACCCAGAGACGCCGUCCAAUACUGCGAGGCUCGAGGAUGUCAGAGGAAGGUGGAAUUCCUGGUGUAGUGGUGAAAUGCGUAGAUAUCAGGAGGAACACCCGUGGCGAAGGCGGCCUUCUGGGGCAUUCCUGACACUGAGAAGCGAAAGCUAGGGGAGCAAACAGGAUUAGAAACCCUGGUAGUCCUAGCUGUAAACGAUGGAUGCUAGGUGUUGGCGGAUUUAACCCUGCCAGUGCCGAAGCUAACGCGUUAAGCAUCCCGCCUGGGAAGUACGAUCGCAAGAUUAAA